rnacentral:lncRNA from 1 species
AACAUCAGAUGAUGUCAAAACAACGUUGAUUGCACCCUUUUGACCACCCUUUGAUGCUAGCUGCACGAUUUGCUUGCUGGAGAGCGAUUUCCCCAAUGAAUACCUCUCGUCUAAAAUCUGUGCUCCUACAGAGAGGAGAAGAGGAGAGGUUUUCUUCGUCUUGACAAGGUUGUAAUAUUUCUCAGUAGCUUUCCACCACGUGGCAACAGAGGGUUGGGCUGUUGUGGGUCUUCUAGAAGAGACAGAGGCAAUAAAAUCUGAGACAAUGGCACGCUGAGAUGGCUUGAACUUGCCAUACCAGAUCAAGUUGAUAGAAAUUUCACCGGUAAGAAGAGGGCCAUUGUGGUAUUGAAAUAACAAGGGAUCUUGGCUUUGAUCUGACACGGAGAAUGUCCUUGCUGCUGAGCUGAAUUGUAUAAUAGAGAUUAACAGAACAAGUUGAAGAAGAGAGUGUGAAGAAAGAAAGGAGGCCAUGAUUGAUCUGAUGAUCGGUAGUGAUGGAAGAGAGGAUUUUGUGAGUGGAGAGAAACGGAGGAGGAGAUUGGGUAUAUAUAGUCUCAGGGAAGUGUUGAAAUCUUAGGGAGGGAAGCUACGCGCGGCUACUCUCGUUUUCAACUGCAUCUAUUGUUAACAAACAUUACAGUGCUUGGCCAGCUAAGAGGACCAGGGAGCGCGCGGCUACUCUCGUUUUCAACUGCAUCUAUUGUUAACAAACAUUACAGUGCUUGGCCAGCUAAGAGGACCAGGGACCACGCGGCUCAGAGAGAGAAAAGUGACAAAAAGUUAGUGCCACGUGGUCAGGGACUUGGCCAGCUAAGCGAGGACCAGGGACCGAAAGGUUAAUAGGUUUGACUAGUGGUUGAUCUAAUCGCCUAAAAAAUAACUCUCUUGAUACACAUAAAAUUAUCUGAUAUUUAAAUCGGUAAUAUGUAUGUUGAGAAAAACAAAUAUACAUGAAUAUAAAAUUAAAAAAAAAGUUUAAUUAUUUAUCUAACUUAAAUAGACUAGCCUGGUUUUACGUGGUUCUUUUAUGAUCUUUGACCGGCUUUAGCUGGGAUUGUCUGGCUAGAUAUUGCUCUUUAGCUUCUAGACCUGGUUGUGUCAUUGUUUUUUUUAGAUUAUUUAUUUAGUUUUUUUUUAAAUAACGAAUAAUUUUAUAAUUAAUUUGUAUGUGUUUAAUGUUUCUAAAAUAUUAUUAUAAUUUAUCUAUAAAUUUUAUUAUAUAUUUUAUAUAAGUAAAACUUAUUCUUAAAAAUAAAAAUUAUUUAUUCUUGGUUAAAAACAAUGACCAUUAAGAUUAAAAAAAAUUGUGUUAAUCAAAGGAAAAAAUUGAGGUUAAACGUUAUAUUUAUCUAUCUUUUACUUUUAAGAAAAUGAUUAUAUUUUUAUUUUAAAAUUGCAUUGUCAUUAACAACUCUUUCUCGAUUUAUUGGCCGUACAUUUUAAGAUUUAUUUUGUUUUGCAUAAAUAACAUCUUUACAUUUCUCGGUUAAGAGAAUUAUUGAUGUGAAUCCCAUGAAUAUAAAGCUAUUGAAACCAACAUUUAAAUUGACCAUUCUCAUGAAAGUUAAGAUCAGGUUUGAAAUUGAGCUUGACACAACGAUAACCUGUGCUGAGACACCAAAAUCAUAAGUAAUCGAACCCUCACUCAUCGCCUAUAAAGAGACGCGAACAAGAAAAAUAGAAGACAUCAUGAAGCUUGAUUAAUUCUUUGAUAAGUCAUAGUAGUUCAAUGAAGAACCAAAAGGUAUGAGCAAAACCUCUCACACACACAAUAAUAAUUACUGAAAUUAAAGUAUGUCCCCCCAAAAAAACCCUAAAUAUAAGCUAAAUAACCCUAUUUAUAAUAGAUAAAAACUUUAUAAACAAUGCUGGAAAAAUAAUAAAAGAGUUCUAAAUAAAAUAGAAAAAAAAAUCAUGAAUCAACUAGGAAACUAAUACAUUUUUUGCAUAGUAGCUUAUAGACCUUAUCGCAAAGCCUUUCUAGUCUCUGAUUGCUUUAGAAUUUUAAGUAAAAAUAGAAAAAGACCUUUGAAAACUCCUGGUAAAAUUUCAACCUAAUGCAUUGUUACCAAUUAUGUAGAUAUUCUUUAAAAUCUAACUUGUGAAUAUUCUCAUGUUUAUUACUAGUUUAGUGUGGAAGCUUGUGACACAAAGUUACUAACAAAUAUGCUUAUUGGGAAAAAGAAGAAAUGGUAAAUUUAGUAUUUUAUUUGGUUUGAAAAUUUAGUAAGGUUAGUCUUUAUCAUCAACAUUAUAUUAAUAAUUAUAGAAUACCAUUUUAACAUAAUUUCAAUGAUUUUUGUAAUUUAAAGACUUAAAAAUUCCUUAUGAUUAUAUUUAUGUUUUUUAUAAGAAAAAACAACAAUUUAAGAACUUAAAUAUAAAGAUUGUCUAUCAAAAAAAAAAAAACCAAAACAAAAUGUAAAGAAAAAAAAAAGUCAAGCGAGCCUAGCAUGCACACUUAGGCCAAGCGUUUUAGGCCCAUUUGUAAAAAGAUUGAAGUAAAUGACGCGUUGUUUAAACCAUCUUCUUUUUCGAUGACUAGAAUCUAAAAGUUCUGUUUUAUCCCCUACGCCCAUGUUUUAUAGUUUUUUUUAAUAAAAAUACCUAAUAUAUAUAUAUAUAUAUAUAUAUAUAUAUAUAUAUAUAUAUAGAGAGAGAGAGAGAGAGAGAGAGAGAGAGUGCUCUAAAGUCUAACAAAUACAGAUCAUAUUAAUUUUGCAGAAAUGUAAUUAUAUAGUAGGAUAAUGAGAUCUAAAGUAAAGAAUCUUACUUAAAUUUGUAUAGAAAUCAAUAUAGAAGAUAUCGGUUACAGGAGUAUGUUUACAAAGAAUUUUCUUCAGUGUAUUUUGCUCUGCCUUUUGAAGCUUAUGAGGUCUUCUUUUAUAGUGGAGCUGUCAUGAAAGAGGCCAAAAGACUUUUUAAAAGGCUGAAGAUUCUUUUUUGCGCUUUUUAGUUAGCUAUAUGUUCUUGUUCCCUAUGGUCAAGAGACGACAAUCAUGGAAAUUGCCUUUAAAUUUUAUGAGGGUUUUCUUUAUUGUCUUCUUACUCACCGAUAGUUGAUUUGUUGUUUAGUAGCAUCAUGAGAUUUUGUAGAAAAAUACCUAAAAUAAUUGGCCUGAAAAAAGAGUUUGAAAAUGAAAAGACUGAACCUAGAACAAGGGCUCAAAACAAGUGAGCUUAAAAGAUCUUGAAAAUACUUUUUUAUGGAUUUUGUAAAGAUGGUAGGAUGCCAUAUCAAUCAUUUUCAUUUUCAUUACUGAGAGGAGUAUAUGAUCCUGAGGAUGAGGAGGCUGAAGAAGAGGAAAACAUAAAUUCUCCUUUUCCACUAUUUAGGAGUUUUUUCAUGACCUCAAAACAUUUUUCUUUGGACUUGGCAGUUGCCAAAAGUGCUGAGGCAUGGGCUUUUUGGGUGAGGAAAAGGGAUUGAGACUGGUCUUUUAGAGUGGUGGUUCUUUAGUGCCAUGUCUAUUGUUUGAAGAAAACCAUAACAUUACAGCAAAUUCAAAGCAUUAUUUUUUGCCGCAAGAGUCCCACCAUUUGACUUUGUAUUUUCUUAUCAAAAUUACAUGAGUAUUUUGGUCGUUAUAGUCAAAGUACCAUGAGCAUACCUAAGACACAAAGAAUUUGGAAUAAAACAUAAGCAUUGGGAAAAAUUUCUUUUCUUUCUUGGUGCCUUUGAAAUUCUAUUUCAAAAGUUUGUAGCCCUUUUCAACCACAAGGUAUGGGUAAAUGAGUUCAGUAAUACAACCAAGGUAAUCCUACCAUUGACGAAACCAAUUUGGUAUUUUUGUAGUAUUAAUAGAGUUAUCAAAAUAAAAUAACCAGGAAUGGCUUUCUUUGGAGUUUUGGAGAAAAAAAGCAUUAAACCAUGCCUAUUGGUGGUCCCAAUAGGAAUAAGUUUGGCAAUGGUUAUUUAAUUUGGUUCGGAAGCUGAUAGGAAAACGGAUCCCAUGAUGAAGAGGUUGUUUCCAAUCAGUUGGAUGGAGGACAUCUUUGAUGAUACCGGUAGAUAGGCUGGUUCAAUAUGAUAUUGUUUGAGGUUAAAAUGUUUAAAUUUUACUGAACCUGUAAUUUCAAGGAUAACCAUGUAGUAAGCAUGAGUUUUUGUAGUGUACUAAUGUUUGAAGUACCACUCUAGAGGAAAAAUUUUUGUAGCCAUGACAAAAGGAUCAAGAUGGUAAAAUUCAUAUUCAAUAGGUAAAACAUUUUGAAAAUUGUUUUUUGAUGAAAUAUUCAAAUUUUAGUUUUGAAGAUGUUUUCAUGAAAUUGGUUUGAGAUAAUGAAAGAUUUGUAGAUUGAAUGAGAGGAUUUUUAGAAGAAGACUACUUGGGGUUUUUGAAAUUAGUGUAGAAGUUUUACCUCAUUAAGAGGAUUCAUCCUCUUGAGAGUACUUCUAGCUGAAAUUUUAUAAGGCUAAAAGUAUUCUAGAGAUUUGGAUAGAGUUUCUACCAAAUUUUAUACUUUGUCACUUUGGAUUGCUGAAGGAUUUGUUACUUUCUCUUUAACAAUAACUGCAUCGUACCAAGAAGUUAUUGGUUUUGCAUAAGAUAUAGUAGAAGCCACAAGUUUUGUAUUGCUUUGGGUUUUUUGUGGUUUUGUAGGUGCUGACCGAGGGGUUUUGCCCUUAUAUUUGGACUAGGAAGGCAUCAAGACCUGUUUUGGAGAAAUUUGUGAGUUAGAAAAUCAGGAAUGAAAUUUGUAUCGCCUUUUAUAUACUCAAUAUCAAAAUAAAAAAAAUACUUAAUAUAACUUGACAUCUAGCAAAAACCUGUUUUGAAGCAAUAUUUUGAACAUUUUUUUUGUAAAACUUCUUUAGAAGAUUUGUAAUCAAUACGUAAUAGGAAUUUUUAGUUUAAUAAGUUGCUUUGAAAUUUUAUAAUACAUAGAAAAAUUGAAAGAAUUUCUUUCUUGAUGGUAGAGUAAUUCUUUUGGCAGUCAUUCCAAUGGGCAGAUGUAAAUUGAAGAAUUUAUUGUUUGGAAUUUUGAACUUGUUUGAGAAUUCCCCUAUACUCUAAUUCUGAUUUAUCUAUUUCUACAAUCUUAGAAGCUAAGGGAUUGGCUAGAUGAAGAUAAGGGAUUUCUUGCACUUAUUUUUUAAUCGGAUGAAUGAGAGCAAUAUGUGCAUCGGACUAUGGUACUGUGUUUUUUUUUUAUCAUCUAUUAAGAAGGGGUUUUGCAAGUCUACUGAUAUUAGGAUAAAAGUCUAAAACAUAAUUUAAACUUCCCAGGAACCUUUGUAACUGAGGUUUAUCAAGGAUUUUAUCAGGAAAUUUGUUGGCAAAGGUAAAGGGUCUUUUAAUGGGUGUGAUGAUAUCUUGGGAGAUAUAAUGAUCAAAAAAACAAAAACGAGUUUGAAACAGAGAAAUCUUUGAUUUGGAGACAACUAAAUCAUUUUGUUUUGUAACAUGAAAGAAUGUUUGUGGGUGUUUAAAAUGUUACUCUAAUGAGUUUGAAAAAAUAUGAACAUCAUCAAUAUAAACUGUACAAAAUUUGGAAUAUGCAUUAAAUAUGUCAUUCAUUAUCAUUUGAAAUUUAGAUGGUGCAUUUUUUAAACCAAAUGGCAUAACAUUCCAUUUAUACUGACCAAAAGGAAUUGUGAAUGCAAUUUUGUAACAGGCUUUAGGAUGAAUUUGAAUUUGCCAAAACCCUGAUUUCAUAUCAAACUUAAAAAAUAUAAAAGCAAAAUGCAAUUUUUGUAAUAAAUCUUUCUUAUUUGGAAUUGGAUAUCUAAUCCACUUUAAAACUCUAUUUAGUGGUUUGUAAUUGAUCACAAGUCUAGGUGUGCCGUUUUCUAUUUUAGAAUUUUUGUUGACAUAAAAUGCAGCACACGAUCAAGAUGAUCUGGACUUUUAGAUCAGACCUUUAGACUUUAAAUCUUGAAUUUCGAGUCUACAAUGUUGUUCUAAUUCAGCAUUCAUUUGGAAAGGUCUUGCUUUUGUAGGUAUUUGAUUUUCAGAAAAGUUAUCUUCAUAGGAAACAUCAACAACAUGUUGUUUUCUUUUCCAAAAAACAUUUGGCAGAUCAAAACAAAUUUCAUGUUCGAUCUUGUUUCGGAAAUCUGAAAUUCUUUUUUGUAAAACAAAAUUAUGUAAUUGUUGCUCAAUUCUUUGUAAAAAACUUCUUUUUUUCAAAUGAUGUAAAUGAAAUUGUUUUUCAUGGAUCUGAUAUUUAUGCAUAGAACAUGCUUUGAUUAGAUUUAGAUUCCUAGUUUUUUAUUUUUCUAAGACAGGAAAAAUAAGUUUAACACCUUUAAUUUUUGAAGUAAUGCAGUCAUGUAUGGCUUUGUAAGGGGUAAUUAUGUCAUCAUAUUCAAGAGGCAACUUAAUUCAAAUAUGCUUAAAAUUUGAUUUCAUUAUAAUUGAAUGAAAGAAUAAUUAAAUCAAAGAAUAAUCUCUCCUACAGCUCCACGUUACUCUCAUACAUACACUAAUGCUAUCCCUUCUCAAAUUAAAGUGGAACAAGUUGAAGUUGAAGGGUCAAAUAAAGCUGGAAGCACGUAUUUCCUUCCAUUAACACCAUGAGCAUUAUAGCUAGCACCAGUUGUAGAGUCCACUAACAAAUCCCCAGCAUAACCAGGAUACGCACCCUUACCAUAGACCCCAGGACAAGCAGAUGCGGCCUCAAGAGGAGCCUCCUUUGGACCCUGGAAAUAGCCAUUUUCAAAUGGGUUUGUUGCAGUCCCAGCCAAAAGACUAGCCAGAUUGAUUACCAUACCAUCGAGACCCACAUCAUUGUUGGGUGCAACCAAUGGAGGGUUCUGUGGUCCAUAGAUUGGCUGGUGGAAUGGCCACGCACAUUGACCGGGGCAUUGAGUCUCAGAGUUACCAACCCAAAUGUAAGCAAAUUUCGAUCUCUUACCGUUGAUUGUUUUAGCACUCAAAGAGGACCCAUGAGUACCACAUUUACUAGAGCAAAACCCUUCAACAGCAACAUCGGAUGAUGUCAAAACAACGUUGAUGGCACCCUUUUGACCACCCUUCGAUGCUAGCUGCACGAUUUGCUUGCUGGAGAGCGAUUUCCCCAAUGAACAGCUCUCGUCUAAAAUCUGUGUUCCUACAGAGAGGAGAAGAGGAGAGGUUUUCUUCGUCUUGACAAGGUUGUAAUAUUUCUCAGUAGCUUUCCACCACGUGGCAACAGAGGGUUGGGCUGUUGUGGGUCUUCUAGAAGAGACAGAGGCAAUAAAAUCUGAGACAAUGGCACGCUGAGAUGGCUUGAACUUGCCAUACCAGAUCAAGUUGAUCGAAAUUUCACCGGUAAGAAGAGGGCCAUUGUGGUAUUGAAAUAACAAGGGAUCUUGGCUUUGAUCUGACACGGAGAAUGUCCUUGCUGCUGAGCUGAAUUGUAUAAUAGAGAUUAACAGAACAAGUUGAAGAAGAGAAUGUGAAGAAAGAAAGGAGGCCAUGAUUGAUCUGAUGAUCGGUAGUGAUGGAAGAGAGGAUUUUGUGAGUGGAGAGAAACGGAGGAGGAGAUUGGGUAUAUAUAUUCUCAGGGAAGGGUUGAAAUCUUAGGGAGGGAAGCUACGCGGAGAGUGGGUUGAGAAUUGAAAGUGGGCAAGUGGUGACAUGACAGGUAAAUAGCGCGUUGCUUCAUUGGUAACUUAAUGAGCGCGCGGCUACUCUCGUUUUCAACUGCAUCUAUUGUUAACAAACAUUACAGUGCUUGGCCAGCUAAGAGAGGACCAGGGACCGAAAGUGAAUGAGAUAGCUUUUUGUAGACAGCUCCGCUCAUGAAGCCGCGAAAAAACCUCGCAAGAAAAUUAGGAUUUCCAUUGCUUGGUUAAUAGGUUUGACUAGUGGUUGUUCUAAUCGCCUAAAAAAUAACUCUCUUGAUAUACAUAAAAUUAUCUGAUAUUUAAAUCAGUAAUAUGUAUGUUGAGAAAAACAAAUAUAAAAUUAAAAAAAGUUAGGGAGUGGGCAUCUAACUUAAAUGGACUAGCCUGGUUUUGCGUGGCUUUCGUUUUGCAUGGCUUUAAUGAUCUUCGACCUGCUUUAGCUGGGAUUGUCUUGCUAGAAAUUACUCAUUAGCUUCUAGACCUAGUUGUGUGUUGUAGUUUCCUUGCGUGGUGUUGUGGUAUUUGGGUGUAUUUAUACAUCUAGGCCUUGAAAAGUUUUCAUGGAGAAGAUAUUAUGUCAUCGGUGAAGAAAUUGAUGCUUAAGCUAGUCAUCCAUUAGAAAGGAAAAAAAAAAAGGUGUAAGUCAUAUUUAUUUAUCUUUUACUUUUAAGGGAAUGAUUGUCUUUUUAUUUUAGAAUUCCAUUGCCAUUAACAGCUAUGUCUCAAUUUAUUGGCUGUAAAUUUUAAGAUUUAUUUUUUUUGUAUAAAUAACAUCUUUAUAUUUAUCGGUUAACAUAAUUAUUGAUGUGAAUCCCACGAAUAUAAAGCUAUGAAAACCAACAUUUAAAUUGACUAUUCUAAAGAAAGUUAUGAUCAUGUUUGGAAUUGAGCUUGACACAACGAUAACUUGUGCUGAGACACCAAAACUAUAAGUAAUCGAACUCUCACUCAUCGCCUAUAAAGAGACGCGAACGAGAGUAUAGAAGACAGUAUAAAGCUUGAUUAAUUCUUUGAUAAGUCAUAGCAGUUCAAUGAAGAACUAAAAGGUAUGAGCAAAACCUCUCACACACACAAUAAUAAUUACUGAAAUUAAAGUCUGUCCCCCAAAAAAACCCUAAAUAUAAGCUAAAUAACCCUAUUUAUAAUAUGUAAAAACUUUAUUAACAAUGCUGAAAAAAUAAUAAAAGAGUUCUAAAUAAAAUAAGAAAAAAAAUCCUGAAUCAACUAGGAAAUUAAUAUAAUUUUUGCGUAGUAGCUUCUAGACCUUAUCGCAAAGCCUUUCUGGUCUCCGAUUGCUUUAGUAUUUUAAGUAAAAAUAGAAAAAAACCUCUGAAAACUCCAGGUAAAAUUUCAGCCUAAUGCAUUGUUACCAAUUAUGGUUUAAAAAUUAUAAUUGUUAGAGUAAAACUGUGUAUUAGUAAAAACAAACCCCAAACCGCCUCUAAUGCCAAAAUUAAUUAGCCCAUCAUUGUGAAAUAAUGAGGCCCAUGUUGUAAAUGGAUCGAACUCCUCAUGCACAUAUAUUAGAUUGACUAAGAUCUAAUCAUCACUUGUUGAAGUUGUAACUUUCUUGAAAUUUACUUUGGAUCAAUUACUCUAAAUAAGCUCAUUAAAUGCAUCUUUAAGCUUCUUUACCCUUGAUCUUAUCAUUGGCCCGAUUGGAACUUCUAAUAGAUUCUUUGGUGUAGUCUGGAUUGUAUCAAUCAUGAUAUAGUGAAACACACUCACAAUAAUGUUCCAUUUUUCUACUAUAUUAAAAAUUAACUUGAGAUCAUACAUGUUUUUAUUAAUGCACAUGAUCCUUGUUUUAUUUUAUUAAAUAUAAGCAUUGGAUUUUCAAUUUAUAGUUAUAUUUUUUACUCGAUGUCAAAAAACACGUUAACAACACCUACUUAUUCAUUCUUUUGCAUUAGAUUUUUUUUUGUUUCAUAUUUAUUGACAUAAAUGAUUCGAUUUAUUUAAUUAAAUGCUUGUAUAUGCUUUUUUUAUUUAUUUAUGAUUAGGAUUUUUUUUAGUUAAAAGAAAUGUUGAAAAGGUUGCAUAUAUAUUUUUUUUGUCAAAAAACAUUAUUCAAUCCAUGACGAAGCGCAAGUCAAAUAGCUAGUUUAGCCUAUUUGGUGUGUCGCACGUGUGCGGCGUCACGGCGGGUAUUCCACUUUAUCAGGAAAUGUAUAAUAUCUAUCUGGCAAAUAUUGAGAGACAAGAAAUUCUUGUCUUUUAUCAGUGAAAAAUGGAAUGGGAGUCGCCACCUAGUAUUUUGGUCACUAGGAACCCUAACUGGUCUCAGAGAUCGGGUACGGGGAUUGGUUCCGUAAAGGGAAGGUAUUAGCACCCCAAAUAUAUCUUACCUAAGGUAAGAUGCAUUGUUUGAUUGUUUGAUAAAAAGCUAAGGUGUUAUUUAACUAUUGGUCUGUCUAGAGUUCAAGAAAAGUCCUCCUCAAUAAGGAGGUCCUUAUCUUAUCGGGUAAAAUUCUAACCGUUCUAACGUCUAUACAAAAAAACUAUAAUUUUAACAUCAGGAAUACGUUUUACAUAAAAAUUCGUAAUCCCAGAUACUAAAAAAAACAAAAAGAUUCUUUUAGAAUUUUUGAAAUAUUGGCCUAGUUCUCGUGGUUCUAACAAACUUGUUGUUAAAGCCAAAGUGCAUGCUAAUACAUAUAUUUUUUAAAUUUCUUUUGUUGUAUGAAAAUAUGAUGUGAUAAUUUUUUCUUUAUUUUGGAGAGACUAGGCCGUAUGCAUUAAAACAAAAACACUUUUUUUUAUUUUAUAUUUUUAUAUUUUUUUUGGAUGUCUUGAUGAAAAUCGGGUAUUUUAAUACUGGAUUUAUAUCUUUACGGUAUAAAAAUACAAACCAAUAUUAAGCAAUUGUGAUAAAAAUAUGCAGGAAAAUCAACAAUAUUUUUUAGGAUUUUUCAGAAUUUUUUAAAAUUUUUUUGGAUAUAUAUCUAUAUAUAUAAAUAAUAUAAAAACAUUAUAAUAAAUAAUACAUAAUAUUAGGUGAGCUAGGCUGGGCCGGCCCAACUAACUGGGCCGGCCUCAGCCCCAAAAGGGUUGGGCCGAUCUCGGCCCAACAAAAUCUCCUAUCUUUGUCUGGGCCAAACCCGGCCCAGACAGUAGGGCUGAGCCAGAAUCAGUCUGGCCCACAAACACAUUAGAACUGGGCCAGAAGCGGCCUGGCCCAGUUAAAGAAAACCAUCAGUGCUGGGCCAGAACCAGCCUGGCCCAGCACUGGAAAACCAACGGGGGGGAAUUAUUUUCCCCCUCCCAUCCUCCUACAUGCAGCACGAAUGUUCUGCAUGCAGGAGGAAAAGCGGGCAAAUAAAAGAGAUAAAAGGGGGGCAGAAGAGUGUACCUGGAGCGGUGGAGGCGGUGGCGGUGUCGCGGCUGACAGACGGCGACUGACUGCUUCGCUGGCGGUGCUGCGGGGGGAGGCCGGUGGCGAUGUCAUGGCUCACGGACGGCGACUCCCAAGCGACGGUGCUACUGUUUCAGGUGGAAGAAAAAAAAAAGCUUCUGCUCUUCCCUUCUCCUCCUUUUCCUCCUCCUCUUCUGCUACGUUUCCUUUCCCUUUUGUUCCGUUUAGAUAUGGCUUUUCAAAACCCGAACGCUUCCGGUGUCAGUGUCGUUUUUUCCUUAACUCUCACGGUCCCCUUUCCUUUACUUCUCACUGUCCCUCUCGGUAUGUUUUCCCAGUUUUCUUUCCCCUCUUUUUUGGUCUGUUCUCUCCUCUCCUCUCUUCGGUUCCUUCCCUUUUCUUUUCUAUUUUCUCUUUUCCUCCCCCUUUCCCCCCUUUUCGCGUGCUGGCGUUGGGAGGUAUUUAUAGGGCAAAAGGGAGCGGGGGCGUCCCUAUUGCCACCCUAUGGCAGCGCAUAGGGAGCAGGGCUGGCUGCCCUGCCACAGCGCCGGGUUGGCUGGGCUGUGGGCGUGGCUGGCAGGGCGCGACUCCCUUGGUGUAUCAUCAUGAGAGUGUGUGGGGUUUCGGGAAGUGGCAGGCAUGUGGCGUGUAGGGUUCAUUGAAGAAAGAAGAAAAAACUGCCUUCCCCUGCUGCACGUCUAGGGGAAAGAGAAAGGGGAACAAUGUCGUUUUGAACGACACUGUUUUUUUUAUAAAAAAAACAUGAAACGACGCCGUUUCAUUUAAAGGUGGCACCAGCAUUUGUUUCCCAAAUCAGUCCUUAAUUUAUCCUUUGUUCUUUUAAGUCCUCACAAUGUAAUUUUGAUUUUAAGAAUUAAUUCAAUUGCAUCCCUGCCAAUUUCAGUCUCCGCCCCUAUAAUUGGCCGCGCUUUUCACUUCAGUCCUUAGUCUCUGAUUUAUGUAAUUGGACCCUCAAUUGAUCAAUAAACUUUCAAUUUCUUCAAUUUAGUCCCUGAUUUUGUUAAUUACAGCCCCUAUAUUUACGCGCCUUUUCCAAUUUGGUCCUUGAUUUCGUAUUUCCUCAAUUAAGUCCCUAAUUGACCAUUAAACUUCAAUAUUUAUACAAUUAAGCCCCUGAUUUGACCAAAUCAACUCUUAAAAAUUAUAAUUUGACCCCAGAACUUUAAUUUCUUCCAAUUAAAGCUCAAAUUGACUUAAAAAUCAACUUUUCUUGCAAUCAAACCCUUUAUAAAUUCAAUUAAACCUUCAAUAAAAUCCAAUUAAGUCCAUAAACAUCCAAUUUUGGACUUUUCACUUCAAAUUAAAUUUUCUUUUCCCACAGGGGUCUCAUCAUUCAAGUAUAUACUGUAAAAAAUUUCAAUCCUUGUAUUUUUUAACCUCCUUAAUCAAUUUUUCUGAUCCUUUCCUGAGCGCUCCAACCUCCUAUUAUUUUUCUAAUUUCUUCCGGCUAUAUAUUUAUAUUUUUAUUUUUAUUUUUGUGUGGGGACCCAAAAAAGGGUUACAACAGAUACCCCCUCUUUAUAAUACUUACGGAGCAGGGGUUUUGCGUGGUAAGUUUUAUAAAGAUAAACAAAACUGAACUUCCAAAACUUAGUCAUCUUGAGAUCCCAAUCUGGCGAUCCUCUGACUUCUAACUUCGAUUAGACUAACUUGGAAUUCCAUCUGAGAUCCCUUCUAGCGACCUCUUUUAACCAAAAAAUCUAUAUUUGUAGCUUGGCCAACCUGAAAUCCCAUCUGGCAAUUUCUUUUAGCCAGAGCUAAUAUCUGUGUUGUGAUUGGGUUAACCUGAGAUCCCUUCUGGCGACCUCCUUUAACCAAAACCAAAAACCUAUAAUUAUAGCUCAAUCAACCUGGAAUCCCAUCUAGCGAUUCCCUUUUACCAAAAGCUGAAAUAUGAGAUCCCUUCUGGCGACCUCCUUUAACCAAAACCGAAAUAUGAGAUCCCUUUUGGCGACCUCCUUUAAGCAAAACCAAAAAACUAUAUUUGUAGCUCGGUCAACCUGGAAUCCCAUCUGGCGAUUCCCUCUAACCAAAGCUAAAAUAUGAGAUCCCUUCUGGCGACCUCCUUUGACCAAAGCUGAAAUAUGAGAUCCCUUCUGGCGACCUCCUUUAACCAAAUCCAAAAUAUGAGAUCCCUUCUGGCGACCUCCUUUAAGCAAAACCAAAAAACUAUAUUUGUAGCUCGAUCAACCUGGAAUCCCAUCUGGCGAUUCCCUCUAACCAAAGCUGAAAUAUGAGAUCCCUUCUGGCGACCUCUUUUAACCAAAGCUGAUAUCAGUAUUGCGGUUGGGUUAACCUGAGAUCCCUUCUGGCGAUCUCCUUUAACCAAAACCAAAAAAUCUAUUUUUGCAGCUCGGUCAACCUGGAAUCCCAUCUGGCGAUUCCCUUUAACCAACGCUGAUAUCGAUGUCGUUCUUCCUGAUGGUAGGGUUUGAACCUUUCAUUUUCUUUUGAAAAUUUCCUAAUAGGUUCUUCUCACUUUAUUGUUGUUCCAAAAUCAAAACCGUGAUUCUUUGUUAUCAUUAACCCAAUGAUUCUUUCUUCAUCCACAAUCUUGUUGGAUUACAUUAAAGAUUCCUCCUGUAACGAUUCAAAAACAUAUAUGCAAUGAUUUAUGAUUAGAUGCCAUGCCUGUAUUCUUACCUGGUUUUGAAACAUAGGUCCCAUCAUCUUCUUCUAUUUCAUGAAACUCUCUCUUGACAUGAGCUUGCUUUUGAAGUCGUAUGCUGGAUUCAUUUUUAGUGCCGCCUAUCAUAUCUUUGAGAAGAAGUUCUUCGACUUUUUACAAGUAGCUUUUUUUUGAAAAUGUAUGAUUUGUCAUUGCCUUCUCUGUCAUGCUCUUGUCAAAUGCUUUAGCUUAAUUUUCAAAUCUAUGGGCUUCUGUCCCGUUUCAAAUACGUAAAACUUUUCGUGAAACAUCACUUAUUGCCCCCAGUGUAGGGGUGUGAUCCUAGUCUGGGCUUUUAUAUAGAGAAAAAAUCCAUUCAGUCAAUGAUAAACUUUUUAGUGAGUGAUGCGAUAACGAAAGGUGAAUUUUGUUUUUCAACGCAUUGUUAGGAUUAAUGCAAAAAAAAAGAUUCUCUAUUCUUAUCUUUUUUUCUCUUCUCUUCCCCUUUUUAAGAUUCACUUAUUGCCCCCAGUGUAGGGUGUGAUCCUAGUCUGGGCUUUUAUAUAGAGAAGAAAUUCAUUCAGCCAAUGAUAAACUUUUUAGUGAGUGAUGCGAUAACGAAAGGUGAUUUUUUUUUUAUUUCAACGCAUUGUUAGGAUUAAUGCAAAAAAAAGAUUCUCUAUUCUUAUCUUUUUUCUCUUCUCUUCCCUUUUUUAAGAUUCUUCUUUCUAGAAAACAAAUUGAGUGUUGUGAGAUCAAUGCAAAAAGAAAGAAGUCGAUGGCCAAACUUUGCUUCAUUGAUUUAGGAGCAUACAUCAAACAUAAUAUCUUUUUACAGAGUCGGAGUUCACAGGCCUAGCUAGGUCUCCUCCAUCCAUUCUAGCCAACUUCAGCGCUCCUCCUGAGUAUGCCUUCCUUACUACGUAAGGACCCUCGUAAUUUGGUGCCUAUUUGCUUUGAUCUUCUCCGGGUAACGACAAUAUUUUCUUCAACACUAGAUCCCCUUCUUGAAACAACCGUGGUCUAACCUUUUUAUCAUAUGCCUUGGCCAUGCGUUUCUGGUAAAGUUGAUGAUGACAUAUUGCAGCUAUCCUCUUUUCGCCGAUCAGGUUCAGUUGUUCAUAUCUCACUUUGGCACACUCAGCCUCUUCUAGUUCGGAAUCCAUCAAUACUCUUAACGAUGGGAUUUCCACUUCCAAUGACAUCACUGCCUCCAUACCGUACACCAAAGAAUAUGGGGUAGUCCCUGUCGAGGUCCUGACUGCAGUGCGAUAUGCAUGGAGAGCAAAUGGCAACAUCUCAUGCCAAUCUCUAUACGUGACGACCAUUUUCUAAAUAAUCUUUUUGAUGUUCUUAUUGGCGGCUUCUACUGCGCCAUUCAUUUUUGGCCGGUAUGGCGAGGAAUUUGAAUGCUUGAUCUUCCACUUGGUACACAACUCCACUAUCAUUUUGCCAUUGAAAUUCUGUGCAUUAUCGGUCACUAUCUUUUCCGGAGGACCAUAUCGACAAAUCAAGUCCUUUUCUACAAACCUCUUCACUACCUUCUGUGUUACGUGGGCAUACGAAUUAGCUUCCACCUAUUUGGUGAAGUGGUCAAUAGCCACGAGGAUGAAUCUAUGCCCAUUGCUAGCUUUUGGGUUAACAGGACCGAUCACAUCAAUUCCCCACAUUGCAAAUGGCCAAGGAGAUAUUAGAUUAAAUAGCAGCGCUGGCGGUGUAUUGACCUUAUCACUGUAAACUUGACACUUGUGACAUUUCCUGACAUAAUCAAUGCAGUCUUUCUCCAACGUCAUCCAAAAAUAACCAGCCCUUUGUAUUUUCCUUGCUAUCAUAUGACUGCUAGCAUGAGUUGAGCAAAUCCCUUCACGGACCUCUCGCAAUGCCUUUCUAGCAUCUGUUUCAUUCAAACACCUUAGCAGGGUUCCGUCAAAUGAUCUUUUGUAUAAAAUCUCUCCAUCUAAAUAGAAGUCUAUGGCCAACCUUCUCAAGGUUUUCUUAUCCGUUUUAGAAGCUCCCACCGAAUAUUCAUGAUUCUGCACAAGAUUCUUGAUAUCGUAAUACCAAGGCUUUCCGUCUAUCUCUCCUUCAACUAAGCAACAGUGAGCUGGGUCGUUUCUAAUGUCAAUGUGUACAGGUUGUACCUUAUAUUUGAGAUCAAUGGUAGUUAUAGCAGCUAGCGUGGCCAAAGCAUCCGCAAAAUGGUUUCCCUCCCUUCCUAGAUGGGUGAAUUUAAUCUCUUCAAAUUCCUUUGCUAGUGUGGAUAAGUAUUCCUGGUACGGCCUUAACUUUUCUUCCUUGGUCUGCCAUUCCCCUUUAACCUGACAGAUAAUCAACAUUGAAUCCCCAUAUACAUUUAUCUUCUUUAUCUUUAGCUCUAAUGCCGCUUCUAAACCAAGGAUACAAGUUUCAUACUCAGCUGUAUUGUUGGUGCACUCGAAAUGCAGUUUAACCGAAACUGGAUACUGUUUCUUAUUAGGAGAGAUUAUUACUGCACCAUUCCCGUUACCAUAUACAUUCACGGCCCCAUUAAAAAACAUGGUCCACCAAUCUGUCUUCUCUUCUUCUUUUUCUAUUGACAAUAUAUCUUCAUCGGGGAAAUCAAAAUCCAAAGGUUCGUAAUCUUCUACAGCAUUAUCAGUUAGAAGGUCCAUAAUUGCACUCCCUUUUACGGCUUUCCUUGUCAUAUACACUAUGUCAUAUUCUGCUAAUAAAACCUGCCACCUUGCAAUUCAGCUUGAGAGAAAGCGCUUGUUACAAAUAUACCUUAGAGGAUCCACUUUUGAAAUCAACCAAGUGGUAUAGUAUAACAUAUAAUGUCGUAAUCUCUUUGCCGCCCAAACCAGUGCACAACAGAGCCUUUCUAUCUCGGUGUAUCUAACUCACAUUCGGUGAGUUUCUUACUUAAGUAAUAAAUAGCUCUUUCCUUCCUUCCGGUUUCAUCAUGCUGACCCAAUACACAUCCCAUGGUUGCUUCAGUUACUGUUAAAUAUAAUACCAGAGGUUUUCCUGAUACCGGAGGAACCAGUAAAGGUGGAUUUUGUAAAUAAUGUUUGAUUUUAUUGAAUGCAUCCUCACACUCCUCAUUCCAGGUUCCAGGAUUCUUUUUCCUUAAUAGUCGGAAUAUAGGUUCACAUGUUGUUGUUAGUUGAGCUAUAAACCGAGCAAUGUAAUUUAACCUUCCCAAGAAUCCUCUUACUUCUUUCUCCGUCUUAGGGGUUGACAUAGCUUGAAUGGCCCUUAUUUUAUCUGGAUCCACCUCUAUACCUCUAUCACUUACCAUAAAUCCUAACAGCUUACCUGAUUUAACUCCGAAUGAACAUUUUGCAGGAUUGAGCCUUAAUUCAUACUUCCUCAACCUCUCAAAUAACUUCCUCAAAACUUCAAUAUGAUCCUCUCCCUUUUUAGACUUGGCAAUCAUGUCAUCUACAUGCACCUCAAUUUCCUUGUGCAUCAUGUCGUGGAACAGAGUCAUCAUUGCUCUUUGAUAGGUUGCUCCUGCAUUCUUCAAUCCAAAUGGCAUGACCUUGUAGCAGUAUGUCCCCCAAGGUGUGACAAAAGUUGUUUUUGCCUUAUCCUCUGGAGCCAUUUUUAUCUAGUUGUAUCCUGAAAAACCAUCCAUAAAGGAAUAUGUGGAACUUCGGGCAGCGUUGUCCACUAAAACAUCUAUGUGUGGUAGAGGAAAAUCAUCCUUAGGGCUAGCUUUAUUCAAAUUCCGAAAAUCCACGCAAACUCUAAUCUUCCCCUCCUUCUUAGGCACCACAACAAUGUUAGAUACCUAUUGUGGAUAUCUAACUACUUCUAGAAAGCCAGCAUCCCAUUGCUUCUCGAGUUCUGCCUUAACCUUGAUCCAGAUAUCCGGUUGGGCCCUCCUCAGCUUCUGUUUGACUGGUUUACAGCCUUCUUCCAAUGGUAUCUUGUGUACUACAAUAUUUGUAUCCAAACCGGGUAUAUCUUCAUAGGACCAAGCAAAGACAUCUGAAUAUUCUUGUAAUAGGGCGAUCAUUUUUGUCCUUUGUUCAGAAGUAAUUAAGGUACCUAUUUUCAACUCUUUCUUGAGCUGAUCACUGCCCACAUUGAUGGUUUCGAGUUCCUCUGCGGCGGGCUUCCAAGUCUGUUCCCGCUGUUCCACUAGCCUGGUGAAUUCACUGAUAUUGCUUUCAUCCCAUUCUUCUUCUUCCAUAGCUAUCACAUGUUUGUUCAAGUUUGGCCAUUUAUUCUUGAUGCUAAAUGUAUGUGAUGUUGUAGGAGAUCCGCUUUCAGGAUUCCUGAAAGCGGGAAGUGUUUGGUGUAAAUGCAUAAAAAGACAAUUUUGAAAAGUGCAUGAUCUCAUCAUUUAUUUAAAGAAAAGAUGGGUUCAAUGACAAACACAAAAUCUAGCUGACAUCAUGAGCCUUGAUUGUCAACUAGAGAAAAUAAAAGCAAACAAAAGCAAUGACAAAAGCAUGUUAAGGCAAACAAAGUUGGUUUACAUUUUGAAAACUACUGGCGCUUCUUGGGUCACCCAGUUCUGAAACUUCUCGCCCUGAGCCAACUUGCACAUGAAGGUCUUGGCGGAGGCUUCUUCUAGUGUGUGGAUUGUUAGUUGUGGCAGUGCUUCAUCUCCCUUUCCCGCUACUGUCUUCAUGUCAUCUCCUUCCACCUCAUUUUCCUCCAAGGUGUUUAUGCUCAUAUUUGCCAGUUCUUGACCAAGGCUUUCGGCUCCUUUAUCAUGUUGCAUUAUGUAUGCAGCUUUUGGGAAUGACACGCUAAGGGGAGGGAUUUCUAGCUUUUCUUCUUCAGGCUCCCUUCCUUCAAUUCUAGCUAUUCUUCUUUCCCUUCUCCGACCAGCAGCCUACCGAUGAUCCUCCUUGUUAGGUUUAUACCCUAGCCCAAAUCUUUGAUCGGCACAUGUCAUCUUUGCCGGAUUAACCCCUUCUGGUACCCCGACGAUAGGGUUAUACUGAAAUGGGAUCUCGCGUUCCAAGAAGCAUUGAGUUGCCAUCCUUGCUGCUUCUGAGAUCCUUGGCCUUCUCAACACUGUGUUCUCCUGCACCCAGUCAGUGUUCACAAUCUCAAAAGCAUGGAUAUUGUUAUCCUUGCAAUCAUCUGCCUCGAUAAAAGGUACAACCACAUUCUUUAUCAUGGAUACUGUCUCCUCAGCUUUGACAGUUACCAAUAUCCCAUUCAUGAUAUACUUCAGGCAUUGGUGCAAUGAUGAAGCUACGGCCCCCGCUGCAUGAAUCCAAGGUCUUCCUAACAACAUACUAUAGGAAGGGUGAAUAUCCAUAACUUGAAGUGUCACUAGGAACAUUUGUGGUCCCAUAUAUAGCUCCACUUCUAAAGUCCCAAUUAUUGGCCUAGGUGAGCCAUCAUAUGCUCUAGCCAUCAUAGUACUCGGCUUCAUAUGAGAUUCAUCGAUCGGCAUUUCUUUUAGAAUGUGCUUUGGCAACACGUUAAGAGCCGAGCCAUUAUCGACGAGCACUUUUCCUAUUAUGCAAUCCUUGCACCUAACCGUAAUGUAUAAGGGCUUAUUAUGUCCGGUACCUUCAGCAUCAAGCUCGUCAGCCGUGAAGUACAGGUAAUUAGUUGCGUGGAUCCUCUCCAUGAGAUGCUCCAUGGUUUUAUGUUCAAUGUCUUGGGGUACAUACGCCUCAUUCAAUACCUUUUGCAAGGCGUUUCUGUGCGGCUCAGAGCUGAGUAUCAAGGACAUAAGAGAGAUCCUAGCUGGAGUCUUUUUUAGUUGAUCUACUAUGCAAUAUUCGAUAUGCUUGAUCAACUUUAAAAAUUCAUUCGACUCCUCUUCCGUUACCGGCUUAUUAACUUCUAGUACUUUGUCAAGACCUACCACUUUUUUGCCCUUUGCCUUCCUCAACUCCUCGAGCGUAAAGCACCGACCACUCCGGGCCAAACCACUUAUCUCAGUUUGGAACAAAGGAAGAGGAGCUCGAAGGUUGGAGGCCCAACCAUAAUUAUAAGGCAUGGCAUUGUGAUUUCCUUUUGUGCAGAAAGGUUUAACCAAGAUUAACUUUGGCGGCCCAUUAGCUGUUGGUUGGACCCUACAUACUCCUGUCAUCUUAUCUUGACCUUCCAUCAUACUCACCUCACCACUGCCCUCCAUGGGUUCAAUCCUCAAUUCCCCCAUUUUCAGCAUUUUUGCAAUCUUUUCACAAAACUCGAUGCAAUCCUCAAUAUGAUGUCCAUCUCUUCCAUGUAACUCACAAUAAUCAUAUCCCUCCAAAUGGCUUUCAACAUUUGUCUCCAGAAAUCCUGAUUGUACCAACAUGUCGUACAACUUCUUCAUGGACACCUUCAACGCCUUGCACUGAUUUCCAGCUUCUAUCAUGCCAACUCUACUACUACCUGUGACAUGUUUAGGUAAUGGGUUUGAAUUAACAUUGGGCUUGUCUUCAAAGGAUACUCAUCCUAUCUUAAUAAGCUCCAACAACCUCUUCUUGAAAGCGUAGCAGGUUUCAAUCCCAUGCCCGGGAUUACCAGCAUGGUACUCGCAAGUCAACUCGGGCUUGUACCAAAUUGGGAAUGGUGGUUGCAAUGGUAGUGCAGGGAUAAGAGCUAUGUGUCCAAUACUUAACAGUUUGGCAUACAUGUCCUUCAAAGGCAUGGGUAACGGCGGCAGUUGUUCUGAAGUGUAUCUUGUAUUUGGUCUUUGGUCUUUGAUGGUGGUUUUGGUUAUUUGACUGGUUAUUUGUUCGAUUGGGGGGAAAAGGUUGGCUAAUGUUCAUGUGGGAGAAUUGGGAGGUAGGUACUUGUAGAUUAUAAGAAUCUACUCUCUUACCUUUGUAUCCACCUUCUAAGCUGUUAAUAUCACCUUCCCUCUAUCUUCCAAUAAAACCCUUCUUCUCCAACAGCUCAGCUAUACACCCAGCUUUAAUCCCUGAAGGUAUUGGCAUCGCAUCGUAGAAAUGCUGAGAGGAGCUACCCAUUAAAUGCUCAUAAUAAGGUGCCUUGAAGGUAUUGGCAAACAAGGUCACCAUCUCUGUUUCUAUCAAAGGGGGUUGGACAUGCAUUGCCUCAUCCCUCCACCUUUGCGCAUAGGCCCUUACCGACUCUUGGCUCCUUUUCUCCAUUGACAUUAGGCUUGUUCGAUCAGGAGCGAUUUCCAGGUUAAACUUGUACUGCUUAAGGAACGCCUCCACCAAGUCUCUCCAGCUCCUGAUCCUAACACUAUCUAACCUCAUGUACCAGCUCAAAGCGGAUCCUGCGAGGCUAUCUUGAAAGAAAUAGAUUAGCAAUUUAUCAUCGCGGAUUACUUCAGCCAUUUUAUUGCAGUAGGAUCGAAGGUGAGUGUUUUGGGCAUUCCAAACCAGUGUACUUAAUGAACUCUGGUAUCCUAAAAUCUUUUGGCACCACGAUGUUUGGUACCAAACAUACUUCAGCUGCUCAUAUAGGGUCAAACCAGUCAUUACCCUCAACUGCCCUUAAUCUUUCUUCGAAAGCAAACAACUUGUCUUGAUCCAUCAAACUGGGAAACCUAUUAUCCGGGAUUCCCUCCGUUGUUAAGUCCACAGUGAUUGGAGCAUGAGUUGGCUGGAUAGGGGUGAUAGGCACAAAAUGUUGUUCAUUGGUCGAGUUUGCCCCCUGGUUUUGAGAUGCUUGAGGGAUGUGAGCUGCUGGCGCUCCUUAAGGUUGUUGUGCUGAUGUUCCCUUCCCAUUCUUAGCUCUUAGAAGUUGCUCGAGUAGGUCGGUUAGUCGAGAAACUUCAUUUUUUAUGGAUUCCAACUCAGUCUGAUAAUGUGACUCUAAGUGAGCUCUUUCUUCGUUCUCCAUCCGCGAUCUGGACCGGGUAUGGUGGACUUUGGAUGUGGGACCUAUAUUUCAUGAUCUGAAGCAUAUGAUAAAUUAAAAACAAAAUGCAUGAUGAAAAUAUGGUGCACAUGAUGUGAAAAAAAAAUUUAGAGCUGACUCAUGACUUUUGUAAUCCUUUAGGCAAGAUUUCCGAGUCGACCUGAUUACUGUAAAGGAGGGUUUGCCAAGUUCUUAUCAUAGUAGCUUACCAAAACACAUUAGAAAGAAAAAUAAGUCAUGGCCUUCUUAUAAAUAGAAGUCGCUCUUACAAAAUGAUAACAGAAAAGGGCUUUAUACAUCGCUACCCUUAAAAGGCAUUUCCUCUAUUAGCUAAGUCCCCAAUAAAAGAGGUGAUGGCCCUCAUGUAUUCUUGAUACUUUAAAGCAUCAUUUCCAACUUGGGUGGCUUGUUGUUGCAACCUUUCUGCAUAGUGGGCUGCUUGCUCGACCUGCUUUGUCAUAUGCCUUAUCUUAUCAUGGAACACGGUAUUAUCUGUGAUUAUCACUUCGUUGCUGGUUCCUAAGGCUUCAUUACUUCUUUCCAACACUCGAACCAUAUCCUCCGAACGUGCCAACUUAUCCCUUACCCUUUGCAGUUCUUCCUUUUCUAUAUCCAGCUCGGUUAUUUUGGAGUUAAUUUGAACUGCAAAGUUGUCCAUGUAGUCUUGACAUUCUUGAUGUUCUUGCUUAGCCUUACUCAGCUCCUCUUCCAUCUCGAAGUAAUGGCUUCUCAACUCCCUCAACUCUUUUUCUCGUAUCUCGAUCUCAAAUUGUAAAGCCAUCAUCCUUCCUUUCGAAGACUCAGCUCUCUUCUGGUAAUCUCUCAUAUCAGCCUCAGCGGCCUUUCUUGCACUUCUCUCUUCCUCAAGUUGCACCAUAUAUUGAGCUCUGAUCCUUCUUUCCUCUUCUAUGUCGAGCUGGGCUAGCCGAUUCUUCUCUUUUUCAACUUCUACUUUCUUUAAAAGAAUGCUCUUUCCCUUCUUCAAGGAAUCCAUCACCUCUUUGUCAACAUUCAUCUUGCCUUUUGUUGAUCUCUUAACCUUUGCCAACUCUUUUUCUGUAAGCCCAUUCUUCUUAACCAGCUCAUCAUAUUCGGUCAUUCGAUUCCUUAACUCAGCCUGGACCCCUUUUGCUAUUUCUUCAGCUACCUCGGCCCUUUUCUGCCAUUCCUUUAAAGACGUUAACUACUUAUCCUGUUUUUCCAACCGCUGGUUCAAGUAAACCCUCAUCGUAUUUUCUUCCUCUAACUGACUUUCUAAUAGUUGUUGCUGCCCUUUACUUUUGUUGAGAUCAAUUAUACAUCGUUCUAGCUGCUUUCUUAACUCUUCUUCAUUAUCAGUCCUUUUUCUUUUUGGUUGCUCUAUCGCUGAUUGUGGAUAUUUUUGUGUUGAGAAAUCCCUCACUUCAGAAAGCGCUUCAUUCCUCCAAACUGCAUAAUUCUAGCUGAAUGAUGUUUCAAAAUUGCUCCAUUCUUCCCUUUUUACCAUCAGGGGUCUUUCCCAAUCUUGUCGGAUAAGCUCCAUCUCUUCAAGGAAUGGUUGGUACUUGAAUAAACCGACAAAAUCAGCUAAACCCAGAGUUCUUGGUGCAUACUGCAUUCCACCCAACUGCCUUGUUACAAGGGCGGGCGCGUAACUGAUGUACCCGGUUACACCAAUCAAGGGAACCCAUAUCUUGCUUCCACAACUCAUUGUGCAGAUGGCAUUAUUCAUCCAUGGUGCUUUCCAUUUGAAGUUGCUCCUUGGCAAUACUGCAUAUUUAUCUAUCCAUGCUUUCUCAUCCUAGUUCUUCCAAGUCUCAUCCAUGGUAACCUUUAACGGUCGCAGGUCAAACCACCAAAAGUUGUUAAAGAUGUCCCUUGGUGUUUCGAUAUGACUGAUAAUCCAUAAAUACAAAAUAGGGAUGCAACAUCUCAUGGCUCCUUUUCCAUGCGUUCUGCAGUGGUUGAGUGAUAACAUGGUUUCUUCUAAAACGGCUGACGAGGGAUUGAUCCGGUCACGCUCGUAUUCUAUGAAGACACUUGCUGCUUCUAAACUGAUGACUCCGAUUUCGGAAGGGAACAAUACCAGUCCAAAAAUGGCGAAGGCCACCAACCUAUAUCGUUCAUCUCCCAACUUGACUUCUUCAGAAUUUUUCUUCAUUCGGGCUUCAAUGACCUUCCAUUUAAAACCCCCAUCGGCGACUCUACAUUGGCUGAUCUUUCCCAGGCCUAAUAAACUGACUACCUCCGAAGCUGUGUCUUCAAAUCUUCGCCUGAGGUAGAUCCUGUGGUUGUUGUUUGGAAAAUCUAGAAUCCUUUCAUAUUCCUCCAAAUUCGGUGUCAUAUCGAUGUUCCCAAAGGUAAAACACCGAUAACUAGGAUCCCAAAAAUUCAAUAGGGCUUUGAUUGCUGCUGCUUGUACAGGUAACCUCAUUAGUUGUGCAAUUCUCCCAUAUCGCCUUUCAAAAAUAGUCUCAUCAAUAUACUCCAUAAUAGACAAUAACUUCCCCAAGUCAUUUACCAUGUGAUUUAUCUUGGUAAUGCAAGGCAACCUACUAGCAUCGAUUCUUGGACAUUUUUCUUCAGCUACCUGAGUCAACUCAGAUUCUUGCCCAAACUCUUGGAAAGAUAGGUACUUAGUCAUGAUUUCAGCUUAAAAACCUGGAUUGAUGAAUUUAACAUUAUUAAUCAUGAUGCAAAUGAACGUAAGAUACAUAUCCUAAGGACAAGCUCUAUUUAUUAUGUGAGAAUGGGCAAUUUUUUUAUCUGGUCUUGAAGGGGUCUCAUAUCUGCCCAGUGACGUUCUUCGUAAAGACAGUAUGGGGGCGUUGCAAGGAACAGUUAAGGCACGUAUGCCCACCAUUACCAAGCAGGCACUCAGAUAUGAGUUGGGUGUUUCACGCAUCUGAACCCUGACCAAUAGUCAUAGGGCAAAUCGCUAAUCCCCCACCUAACUUAAAGCUUGUGUGUGCUUCUCAAAAUCAAAGUAUGUGAUGCAUGAGACAGUUCUAUACAAUGCAUGAACAGUAGGUGUAAAAAAUUAAAAGCAUAUACGCAAAUAACAAAAGGAAAAACAUAUUAACAAUAACCACACGAAAACACAAACAAAUCAACUUUUUGCGCCUUUUCCAAUUGAUCAAUAAACUUUCAAUUUCUUCAAUUUGGCCCCUGAUUUUGUUAAUUACAGCCCCUAUAUUUACGUGUCUUUUCCAAUUUGGUCCUUGGUUUCGGAUUUCCUCAAUUAAGUCCCUAAUUGGCCAUUAAACUUCAAUAUUUAUACAAUUAAGCCCCUGAUUUGACCAAAUCAACUCUUAGAAAUUAUAAUUUGACCCCAGAACUUUAAUUUCUUCCAAUUAAAGCUCAAAUUGACUUAAAAAUCAACUUUUCUUGCAAUCAAACCCUUUAUAAAUUCAAUUAAACCUUCAAUAAAAUCCAAUUAAGUCCAUAAACAUCCAAUUUUGGACUUUUCUCUUCAAAUUAAAUUUUCUUUUCCCACAGGGGUCUCAUCAUUCAAGUAUAUACUGUAAAAAAUUUCAAUCCUUGUAUUUUUGAACCUCCUUAAUCAAUUUUCUGAUCCUUUCCUGAGCGCUCCAACCUCCUAUUAUUUUUCUAAUUUCUUCCGGCUAUAUAUUUUUAUUUUUAUUUUUAUUUUUGUGUAGGGACCAAAAAAUGGGUUACAACAUGGUGAAACUGGUCGUUGCAUAUGCCAUGAUUCUAUUCUAAAUCCCUCAUAACUUAAUGGGCCCAAAGACGACAUUUAAUCUUAUAGAUGCAUUAACACUUUUUUUUUUAUUGACACAAAUGAUUCUUGAUUUAUUUAAUUAAAUGCAUGUUUAUGCUUUUUUAUUUAUUUAUGAUUAAGAUUUUUUUAUUCAAAAGAAACGUUGAAAAAGUAUGCUUAUUUUUUUUCAAAAAAAAAUUAUUUAAUCCACAGUGAAGCGCGAGUCAAAUAGCUAGUUUAGCCUAUUUGGUGAAACUGGUCGGUGCAUAUGCCAUGAUUCUAUUCUGAAUCCCUCACAACUUAAUGGGCUUAAAGAUGAUAUUUACUAGUAUAGACAACAACUUAAUUCAAACUCAAAAAAUAUCGACCUGACCUAACUUGACCUGAAUUAGUGGGUAUUAUUUGGAUAGUUACCUUAUCCUAAUAUAUACUGGAUAGAGUAUGUGUAUUAUCAAAUCCAAUCUGAAACUUGCCUAAGCCCAAGUCGAGAUAUAUAUUUAUAUUAUUUAGAUAUAUUUAUAGAACAUUUAAAUAUUUUUAAUACAACAUGAUAUAUACAUAUCGCAAUAUUGAUAUAAAACACACACACAUGUAUAAUAUUUAUAAUUUUAGUAUAUACAUACAUACAUAUACAUACAUAUAUAUAAUGAGAAUAAAUAUAUUGAAUUUUAUAAUUUUGUUAAUAUUUAAUGAGAAUAAACAUAUUUUAUUAAACAUGUCAUACCGUAUAAAUCACUAAUAACUAUACAUUUAUUAUUUUCUAAAAAAACCUCAUUUCACAAGUAAAUUUAGUAUUUUAUUUGGUUUGAAAAUUUAGUAAGGUUAGUCUUUAUCAUCAACAUUAUAUUAAUAAUUAUAGAAUACAAUUUUAACAUAAUUUCAAUGAUUUUUAUAAUUUAAAGACUUAAAAAUUCCUUAUGAUUAUUUUAAUGUUUUUUAUAAGAAAAAAUAAUAAUUUAAGAACUUAAAUAUAAAGUUUGUCUAUCACAAAAAAAAAACUAAAACAAAAUGUAAAGAAAUAAAAAAAAAAGUCAAGCGAGCCUAGCAUGCACACUUAGGCCAAGCGUUUUAGGCCCAUUUGUAAGAAGAUUGAAGUAAAUGACGCGUUGUUUAAACCAUCUUCUUUUUCGAUGACUAGAAUCUAAAAAUUCUGUUUUAUCCCCCACGCCUAUUUUUUACAGCUUUUGUUUUUAAUAAAAAUACCUAAUAUAUAUAUAUAUAUAUAUAUAUAUAUAUAUAUAUAUAUAUAUAUAUAUAGAGAGAGAGAGAGAGAGAGAGAGAGUAACAAACACAAAGCAUAUUAAUUUUGCAGAAAUGUAAAUAUAUAGUAGGAUAAUGAGAUCUAAAGUAAAGAAUCUUACUUAAAUUUGUAUAGAAAUCAAUACAUGAGAUAUUGGUUAGAGGAGUAUGUUUACAAAGAAUUUUCUUCAGUGUAUUUUGCUCUGCCUUUUGAAGCUUAUGAGGUCUUCUUUUACAGUGGAGCUGUCAUGAAAGAGGCCAAAAGACUUUUUGAAAGGCUGAAGAUUCUUUUUGGCGCUUUUUAGUUGGCUAUAUGUUCUUGUUCCCUAUGGUUAAGAGACGACAAUCAUGGAAAUUUCCUUUAAAUUUUAUAGGGUUUUUCUUUAUUGUCUUCUUAUUCACCGAUAGUUGAUUUGUUGUUUAGUAGCAUCAUGAGAUUUUGUAGAAAAAGACCUAAAACAAUGGGCCUGAAAAAAGAGUUUGAAAAUGAAAAGACUGAGCCUAGAAGAAGGGCUCAAAACAAGAGAGCCUAAAAGAUCUUGAAAAUACUUUUUUUUUUAUGGAUUUUGUAAAGAUUGUAGGAUGCCAUAGCAAUUAUCUUCAUUUUCAUUACUGAGAGAAGUAUAUGAUCCUGAGGAUGAGGAGGCUGAAGAAGAGGAAAACAUAAAUUCUCCUUUUCCACUAUUUAGGAGUUGUUUCAUGACCUCAAAACAUUCUUCUUUGGACUUGGCAGUUGCCAAAAGUGCUGAGGCAUGGGCUUUUUGGGCGAGGAAAAGGGAUUGAGACUGGUCUUGUAGAGUUGGUGGUUUUUUAAUGCCAUGUCUAUUGUUUGAAGAAAACUAUAACAUUACAGUAGAUUCAAAGCAUUUAUUUUUUGCCUCAAAAGAGCCCUACCAUUUGACUUUGUAUUUUCUUAUCAAAAUUACAUGAGUAUUUUAGUCGUUAUAGUCAAAGUACCACGAGCAUACCUAAGACACAAAGAAUUUGGAACAAAACAUAAGCAUUGGGGGAAAUUUCUUUUCUUUCUUGGUACCUUUGAAAUUCUAUUUGAAACGUUUGUAGCCCUUUUCAACCAUAGGGUGUGGGUGAAGGAGUUCAGUAAUACAACCAAGGUAAUCCUACCAUUAACGGAACCAAUUUGGUAGUUUUGUAGUAUUAAUAGAGUUAUCAAAAUAAAAUAAUCAAGAAUGGCUUUCUUUGGAGUUUUGGAGAAAGAAAGCAUUAAAUCAUGCCUAUUGGUGGUCUCGAUAGGAAUAAGUUUGGCAAUGGUUAUUUAAUUUGGUAUGGAAGUUGAUAGGAAACGGAUCCCAUGAUGAAGAAGUUGUUUCCAAUCAGUUGGAUGGAGGACAUCUUUAAUGAUACCGGUGGAAUAGGCUGAUUCAAUAUAAUAUUGUUUGAGGUUAAAAUGUUUAAAUUUUAAAAAACCUGUAAUUUCAAGGAUGACCAUAUAGAAAGCAUAGGUUUUUGUAGUUGUUUCCAAUUAGUUUUGAAGAUGUUUUUAUGAAAUUGGUUUGAGAUAAUGAAAAAUUUAUAGAUUGAAGGAGAGGUUUUUGAGAAGAAGAUUGCUUGGGUUUUGAAAUUAGUGUAGAAGUUUUACCUCAUUGAGAGGAUUCAUCCUUUUGAGAGGACUUCUAGCUGAAAUUUUGUAAGGUUAGAAGUAAUUCUAGAGAUUUGGAUAGAGUUUCUACCAAAUUUUAUACUUUAUCACUUUGGAUUGCUGAAGGAUUUGUUACUUUCUCUUCAACAAUAACUGCAUCGUACCAAGAAGUUAUUGGUUUUGCAUAAGAUAUAGUAGAAGCCACAAGUUUUUGGAGUGCUUUGGGUUUUUUGUGGUUUUGUAGGUGCUGACCGAGGGGUUUUGCCCUUAUAUUUGGAUUAGGGAGGCAACAGGACCUGUUUUGGAGAAAUUUGUGAGUUAGAAAAUCAGGAAUGAAAUUUGUAUCGCCUUUUAUAUACUCAAUAUCAAAAUAAAAAAUACUUAAUAUAGCUUGCUAUCUAGCAAAAAUCUAUUUUGAAGCAAUAUUUUGAACAUCUUUUUGUAAAACUUCUUUAGAAGAUUUGUAAUCAAUACGUAAUAGGAAUUGUUUGUUUAAUAAGUCGCUUUGAAAUUUUAUAAUACAUAGAACAAUUGAAAGAAUUCUUUUCUUGAUAGUAGAGUAAUUCUUUUGACAAUCAUUCCAAUGAACAGAUGUAAAUUGAAGAAUUUAUUGUUUGGAAUUUUGAACUUGUUUGAGAAUUCCCCUAUACUCUAAUUCUGACUCAUCUAUUUCUACAAUCUUAGAAGCUAAGGGAUUGGCUAGAUGAAGACAAAGGAUUUCUUGCACUUGUUUUUUAAUCUGACGAAUAAGAGCAGUAUGUGCAUCGGAUUAUGGUACUGAGUUUUUUUUUUUAUCAUCUAUUAUGAAGGGGUUUUGCAACUCUACUAAUAUUAGGAUAAAGUCUAAAACAUAAUUUAGACUUCUCAGGAACCUUUGUAACUGAGGUUUAUCAAGGAUUUUAUCAGGGAAUUUGUUAGCAAAGGUAAGGGGUCUUUUAAUGGGUGUGAUGAUACCUUGGGAGAUAUAAUGACCGAAAAAACAAAAACGAGUUUGAAACAGAGAAAUCUUUGAUUUGGAGACAACUAAAUCAUUUUGUUUUGUAACAUGAAAGAAUGUUUGUAGGUGUUUAAAAUGUUACUCUAAUGAGUUUGAAAAUAUAUGAACAUCAUCAAUAUAAACUAUAUAAAAUAUGGAGUAUGCAUUAAAUUUGUCAUUUAUUAUCCUUUGGAAUUUAGAUGGUGCAUUUUUUAAACCAAAUGGCAUAACAUUCCAUUUAUACUGACCAAAAAGAAUUGUGAAUGCAAUUUUGUAACAGGCUUUAGGAUGAAUUUGAAUUUGCCAAAACCCUGAUUUCAUAUCAAACUUAGAAAAUAUAAAAGCAAAAUGCAAUUUUUGUAAUAAAUCUUUCUUAUUUGGAAUUGGAUAUCUAAUCCACUUUAAAGCUCUAUUUAUUAGUUUGUAAUUGAUCACAAGUCUAGGUGUGCCGUUUUCUAUUUUAGAAUUUUUGUUGACAUAAAAUGCAGCAGAAGACCAAGGUGAUCUGGACUUUAUAUCAGACCUUUAGACUCCAAAUCUUGAAUUUUGAGUCUACAGUGUUGUUCUAAUUCAGCAUUCAUUUGGAAAGGUCUUGCUUUUAUAGGUAUUAUAUUUUCAGAAAAGUUAUCUUCAUAGGGAACAUCAACAACAUGUUGUUUUCUUUUUCAAAAAGCAUUUGGCAGAUCAAAACAAAUUUCAUGUUUGAUCUUGUUUCGGAAAUCUGAAAUUCUUUUUUGUAAAACAAAAUUAUGUAAUUGUUGUUCAAUUCUUUGUAAAAAACAUCUUUUUUCAAAUGAUGUAAAUGAAAUUGUUUUUCAUGGAUCAAUGUAUUGAUCUGAUAUUUAUGUAUAGAACAUGCUUUGAUUAGAUUCAGAUUUCUAGUUUUUUAUUUUUCUAGGAUAGGGAAAACAAGUUUCACACCAUUAAUUUUUGAAGUAAUGCAGUCAUGUAUGGCUUUGUAAGGGGUAAUUAUGUCUAUGAAUAGAGUUCCAAGAAUGAUGGUAUGAUUGAUGUCAUUUGUAACAACAACAAAAAAACUUAAGAUAAAAACCAUUGUUGAGAAUGGAUGCUUGAGUUUUUCCUAAAAGAUGAAGUUUGAGAUUGUUUGUUGUAGAAAGUCUUUCAAAAGUAUUUUGAAGAAAUUAUUUAGGAACUACUUCUUUUUUGAUACAAUUUAAAUCAACACAUAUAUCAAACAAGACAAUAGUUUCUAACUUGUAGUCUUCUGAAAAAACUAAAGUAUUUUUUAUUAAAUAUUGUUUUUGAAGUAAUUUGUGUUAAAACAUUUAAAUAGUCUUCAGGAAUAUGUUCGAUGUUUGAUAAUGCAUGAUCUACUGCAUGAGUCUCAAGAGUUUAUUCUUUAGAUUCUGGUUCAGAAUCUGACUGGCUUUCUAACUUGGUCAGGAGGUAUUGUAAUAUGAGUGAGUCUUUUUGUUGGGCUUAUGUAAGGGUUUGUAACUCAGAUUUAAGGGUCUUAAUUUCUGACUGUAACUCUAGGAUAAUAGCUAUAGGUUUGGAUUUAUUUUUCUUGUGGAGAAUUUUUGUAAGAUCAUAAGUGUUGGCACUGCUUGUAAAUAAGAUGGAAUAGUUUUUGAUAAGUUGGGAUGUCUCAAGUUUCUUAAAAUUAUUCAAUAACUUAUCUAAAUAUGAUUUUUGUAAUCAGACCAAUCUUUUGAUGAUUCAAAUUAAUGUCAUCAUUUACAGUGAAAGACCUUUCUAUUUUAAUUUUAGUUUUUUUAAUUAAUUAUUUACACUGAAAUGAGAAAAAUUACCUUUAUGUCCAACGAUGUCAUUUUGAGGUUUGAUAAACAAUGUGCAACAGUGAUUAUGAACGAAAAAUGCAAUUUUUGUUUGUUAAUUGUUGAUGAUACAGCUCAAUAAACAAUAAGAAAUGAAUAUUAAUUUCGUGAUUACGAAUCUGAAUUGAAAAAAACUGUCCUUUUACUUUCUCUGGUCACUUAAUCAAAUUCAAUUAGAAGGAGAGAGAAGCCAGUUUAGUAUUGAAUCAUCAUACUCAAGAGGCAACAUUAAUUCAAAUAUGCUUAAAAUUUGAUUUCAAUAAUUGAAUGAAAGAAUGAUUAAAUCAAAGAAUAAUCUCUCUUACAGCUCCACGUUUACUCUCAUACAUACACUAAUGCUAUCCCUUCUCAAAUUAAAGUGGAACAAGUUGAAGUUGAAGGGUCAAAUAAAGCUGGAAGCACGUAUUUCCUUCCAUUAACACCAUGAGCAUUAUAGCUAGCACCAGUUGUAGAGUCCACUAACAAAUCCCCAGCAUAACCAGGAUACGCACCCUUACCAUAGACCCCAGGACAAGCAGAUGCGGCCUCAAGAGGAGCCUCCUUUGGACCCUGGAAAUAGCCAUUUUCAAAUGGGUUUGUUGCAGUCCCAGCCAAAAGACUAGCCAGAUUGAUUACCAUACCAUCAAGACCCACAUCAUUGUUGGGUGCAACCAAUGGAGGGUUCUGUGGUCCAUAGAUUGGCUGGUGGAAUGGCCACGCACAUUGACCGGGGCAUUGAGUCUCAGAGUUACCAACCCAAAUGUAAGCAAAUUUCGAUCUCUUACCAUUGAUUUUUUUAGCACUCAAAGAGGACCCAUGAGUGCCACAUUUACUAGAGCAAAACCCUUCAACAGCAACAUCAGAUGAUGUCAAAACAACGUUGAUUGCACCCUUUUGACCACCCUUUGAUGCUAGCUGCACGAUUUGCUUGCUGGAGAGCGAUUUCCCCAAUGAAUACCUCUCGUCUAAAAUCUGUGCUCCUACAGAGAGGAGAAGAGGAGAGGUUUUCUUCGUCUUGACAAGGUUGUAAUAUUUCUCAGUAGCUUUCCACCACGUGGCAACAGAGGGUUGGGCUGUUGUGGGUCUUCUAGAAGAGACAGAGGCAAUAAAAUCUGAGACAAUAGCACGCUGAGAUGGCUUAAACUUGCCAUACCAGAUCAAGUUGAUCGAAA